rnacentral:rRNA from 1 species
GGUGUUCUUCCCGAUAUCUACACAUUCCACCGUUACACCGGGAAUUCCAGUCUCCCCUACCGCACUCCAGCCCGCCCGUACCCGGCGCAGAUCCACCGUUAAGCGAUGGACUUUCACACCGGACGCGACGAACCGCCUACGAGCCCUUUACGCCCAAUAAUUCCGGAUAACGCUUGCACCCUACGUAUUACCGCGGCUGCUGGCACGUAGUUAGCCGGUGCUUAUUCGAAAGGUACACUCACCCGAAGGCUUGCUCCCGAUCAAAAGCGGUUUACAACCCGAAGGCCGUCAUCCCGCACGCGGCGUCGCUGCAUCAGGCUUGCGCCCAUUGUGCAAUAUUCCCCACUGCUGCCUCCCGUAGGAGUCUGGGCCGUAUCUCAGUCCCAAUGUGGCCGGUCGCCCUCUCAGGCCGGCUACCCGUCGUAGGCUCGGUGGGCCGUUACCCCGCCGACUACCUGAUAGGACGCGACCCCAUCCCAUACCGAUGAAAUCUUUCCCGACACCCCAUGCGAGGAGUCGGAGCAUCCGGCAUUACCACCCGUUU